GUCCGAUUUGAAAGAUGCCGCUGUUCACUGUCGAGGCCCGACUGCUGAGAUUCUAGGGAGUGAUGUCAAGGAAGGAGGCCAGGUUAUGGGUGUGUGCAUACUCCUCCUUGAAAAUAAGCUUACUGAAGAUCGAGCUAAGUUGGAUGAGAGAGAAUCUCAAGAUGACUGAAUCCAUUAUUCAAAGCAUAUAAUUACUCGGAGCAUUCAGAUAUGGAAUGCAGAUGAGCGAGGCUCAAGCAGAGAGACACCAUCGGCUUGCCGAGUUAUCAUGAUAGGCAAAAAAGAGAGGCUCAAGAGAUACCAGUGAAUUAUCAAAAAAAUAUCCGGAGGAUGACAGAUGGAUACUGCAAACGGGAGAUUCUUUCGCCUCUUAUUGGUAGAAUGAUAUGGAAGGCGGAUAAAUGAGUCUCAAGAGAUUAUGCAGGAACAGAUACAUAGAGAAAACAUUGGGUGGUAGUAGAGAGAAGCCUGAGAACGUGCGGUCGAGUUAUCUUGAUAGGAAAAAAAGAGAAGCUCAGGAGUCACCAGUGAAUUAUCAACAGAAUCUGUAAGAUUAGAGACAGUUUGAUACUGCAACUAGGGAUAUUCUUUCUUGUCUUGCAAGGAGAUUGGUAAGCUAAUUGAGUAAGAUCUGACUGUGUAUAAGAACACGCAGAUGAGAAACGAAGUAGUUCUAAUCAUAGUCUUUAACAAAAACUUGGAAUAAAAAGAGCAGUGGGUGAUGGAAUUUAAGAGGAGACAGAGUAUAGACACACCAAAUAGAACAGUCAAAUGAUUUCU